GAUGAAGAACGUAGCGAAAUGCGAUAAGUAAUGUGAAUUGCAGAAUCCAGUGAAUCAUCGAAUCUUUGAACGCACAUUGCGCCCGCCAGCAUUCUGGCGGGCAUGCCUGUUCGAGCGUCAUUUCAACCCUCGACCUCCCUUUGGGGAAGUCGGCGUUGGGGACCGGCAGCACACCGCCGGCCCUGAAAUGGAGUGGCGGCCCGUCCGCGGCGACCUCUGCGUAGUAAUCCAACUCGCACCGGAACCCCGACGCGGCCACGCCGUAAAACACCCAACUUCUGAACGUUGACCUCGAAUCAGGUAGGACUACCCGCUGAGCUUAAGCAUAUCAAUAAGCGGAGGA
rnacentral:misc_RNA from 1 species